UUUUACUUAUUCUGCUUCAACACACACCAUGAUCUCUACAUCCCUACUGCUGUUGCUGCUGGCAGCUGUACACUGUGUUCACUGUGUUCAGCUGAUUCAACCUGGAACAAUGAUUUUAUCCCUGGGUCAGUCAAUGACUCUGACCUGUAAAGUGUCUGGAUAUUCAGUAAGUGAUGGCAGCUACUGGACACACUGGAUACGACAACCUGCAGGAAAAGCUCUGGAGUAUAUCGGACAAAUAUCCGGUAGUGGUAGCACUUACUACAGUGAGAAACUGAAAAGCAGGUUUCAGGUUUCCAGAGACACGUCCAGCAGCACAGUAACAUUAACAGGGCAGAACAUGCAGACUGAAGACACAGCUGUGUAUUACUGCGCUCGUGAACCACAGUGAGACGGAUCAACAACAUCCCUGUACAAAAACACCCAGUACAGAAAAGUGAUAUAUUAGCAAAAGCAAUACCAUAGCAAUUAGGGCUGCACAAUUAAUC